UUUCAUUUUACAAAGUUAACUGAUCCUUAACAGUUUUACUUUGGGGAAAUAUGUUGUACAGAUUAUUACAGCUAUCCUAGAUUUUCAGAGUUAAGUGUAAGUAUAUAUGUAUGCAUAUAUAUGUUAAGUAUAAGUAUAUACAUAGGUAUAUAUAUGUAUAAAUGUAUACACAAAAAAGGCAGGAAGCAAGCAAGAGAAUAUAAGCAACAGAACAA